rnacentral:rRNA from 1 species
CAGCCGCCGCGGUAAUACGUAGGUGGCGAGCGUUGUCCGGAAUUACUGGGCGUAAAGGGUGCGUAGGCGGUUUUCUAAGUGGGAUGUGAAAUCCUGAGGCUUAACUUCAGAAUUGCAUUUCAAACUGGAAGGCUAGAGUACAGGAGAGGAAAGCGGAAUUCCCAGUGUAGCGGUGAAAUGCGUAGAGAUUGGGAGGAACACCAGUGGCGAAGGCGGCUUUCUGGACUGUAACUGACGCUGAGGCACGAAAGCGUGGGGAGCAAACAGGAUUAGAUACCCUGGUAGUCCACGCUGUAAACGAUGAAUACUAGGUGUGGGGGGCUAAGCCCUCUGUGCCGCAGUUAACACAUUAAGUAUUCCGCCUGGGGAGUACGAUCGCAAGAUUAAAACUCAAAGGAAUUGACGGGGACCCGCACAAGCAGCGGAGCAUGUGGUUUAAUUCGAUGCAACGCGAAGAACCUUACCAAGGCUUGACAUCUAAAGAAUCUAAUAGAGAUAUUGGAGUGCCCCGAAAGGGGAGCUUUAAGACAGGUGGUGCAUGGCC